GCUUACGGCCAUACCACCCUGAACACGCCCGAUCUCGUCCGAUCUCGGAAGCUAAGCAGGUCGGGCCUGGUUAGUACUUGGAUGGAGACCGCCUGGGAAUACCAGGUGCUGUAAGCU
ensembl:rRNA 5S_rRNA 5S ribosomal RNA